AUUGAACGCUGGCGGCAGGCCUAACACAUGCAAGUCGAGCGAGCGGCGGACGGGUGAGUAAUGGAUGGGGACUGCCCGAUAGAGGGGGAUAACGACUGGAAACGGUAGCUAAUACCGCAUACUAUCGGAUAACCCAUGUGGGAUGAGCUAGUAGGUGAGGAAAUGGCUAACCAAGGCGACGAUCCCUAGCUGGGCUGAGAGGAUGAUCAGUCACCCUGGGACAGAGACACGGCCCAGAAUCCUAGGGAGGCAGCAGUGGGGAAUAUUGCACAAUGGGCGCAAUCCUGAUGCAGACAUGCCGGGUGGAUGAAGAAGGCCCUAGGGUUGUAAAGUACUUUCAGUCGGGAGGCGUUACCGACAUAGGAAGCACCGGCUAACUCCGUGCCAGCAGCCGCGGUAAUAC
rnacentral:rRNA from 1 species